GUGACGUCAGCACGCUGACGUCGACGCACAGAGCUCGCAUCUCGCUCGAGGGACCAAAGACUCGACUGGUUCCUGAGUGCCGCCAUAGAGGAGCCAACCUAUUGGUCAGAUGACGUGUCAAUCUUCUACUGACCAGUAAACGACGCGGGAAGGAGGGAGAGGGCGGGCCGGCCUGCCUGUAGAAAUGGUGAUGGUUGAUCCCAAUUGAAGUUGGAGCUGGAGGGAUGAGAAUGCAGGAGAAGGAGAGGUCGGGCAGAGAGUCAGGUUGCAUUUCUUUUUUCUGGAAGCACAUCUUUUAAAAGAUAUUUACAUGAAGGUCUACCGGAUAUGAAAUUGGAGUUCUAGAAGGGGAGAAGAUGAGGAUGGGGAAGAAACAAUAUCUCAAGAGGAAAUCUCUCAAGAAUUUGCCAAGUCUGACCCAAAACAUCAAGCAGUUGAUUUAAGAAGUGUAUAAGCCCAUGCUGGGUAAAUACAAUGAAAACCACACUUUGGCACACCAGAGUCCAACUGAGGGAAAUCAAAACAAUAAUAAAACAUUGAAAAUACACAUUGCCUUCAAACCAACUACAAUAAGAUAAAUAGCUAAUUCCCUAAAACAAAUUAUGGAAGCCAGAAAACAAUUUAAUGACAUCUUUAAUGAUAAAAUUACUGCCAGUUUACAAUUCUCUGCCAACUAAAAAUUUACUCUGGAAUUGAAGGUGAAAUAAAGAUAUUUCUAGACAAAAUAAGCCUGAGAGGUUUCAUCAUUGACAAAUAUUACAGUAGGUACUACAGAAUUCUUCAGGCAGAAGGAAAAUGAUCAAGAAAGAAAUACAGAAAUGGA